CGUAGGGCGCGAGCGUUGUCCGGAUUUAUUGGGCGUAAAGAGCUCGUAGGCGGCUUGUCGCGUCGUCCGUGAAAACUUGGGGCUCAACCCCAAGCUUGCGGUCGAUACGGGCAGGCUGGAGUUCGUAGGGGAGACUGGAAUUCCUGGUGUAGCGGUGAAAUGCGCAGAUAUCAGGAGGAACACCGGUGGCGAAGGCGGGUCUCUGGGCCGAUACUGACGCUGAGGAGCGAAAGCGUGGGGAGCGAACAGGAUUAGAUACCCUGGUAGUCCACGCUGUAAACGUUGGGCGCUAGGUGUGGGGGGCCUCUCCGGUUUCCUGUGCCGUAGCUAACGCAUUAAGCGCCCCGCCUGGGGAGUACGGCCGCAAAGGCUAA
rnacentral:rRNA from 1 species